rnacentral:rRNA from 1 species
AAUCAACGCUGGCGGCGUGCCUAACACAUGCAAGUCGAGCGCGAAAGGGGGCAACCCCGAGUAGAGCGGCGAACGGGUGAGUAACGCGUGGGUGAUUUGCCUCCGAGUGGGGAACAGCACCGGGAAACUGGUGCUAAUACCGCAUGACAUCCUCGGGUCGUACUGAGGAUCAAAGCUGGGGACCGCAAGGCCUAGCGCUUGGAGAGAAGCCCGCGUCCGAUUAGCUAGUUGGGGGGUAAUGGCCUACCAAGGCGACGAUCGGUAGCCGGCCUGAGAGGGCGGACGGCCACACUGGGACUGAGACACGGCCCAGACUCCUACGGGAGGCAGCAGGUGGGGAAUUGGUUCGCAAUGGGCGCAAGCCUGACGACGCAACGCCGCGUGGAGGA